ensembl:lncRNA
CCUCAUGACCUUGUCACGGGCGGGAUUCCUCACACUGGCUCCCGGCAGUCCAAGCCACUCCUCUCUACAGCAGCUGCUUCCUCCACUACGUCUGCCAGUGCUUCCACUUUGACCAGCACACCCCCCUUAUGCACCAACAGUGUGAACAACUGGCCCAGCACCUUGUGCGGAGCACUGCCUGAGACCCACCUGCCUCCACCAGGGUGGGGGGCCUCCUCUGAACCCAUCUCAUCACUUGCUCUCUGAGACCUCUCCUGAGUCAGCUGUCACAGGUUAGUCUUCAGAGGCUGAGUUGAGGUGCACGUUUAUGAGGGAUCAACACUUGUGGGAGGAAGUGAAGGCAGCAAGAUCAGGCUUAGGAAGGAGCCAAACAGCAAUGCUGGCCCCACAGAGCUCCAGUCAAGGCAGCAGGGAGUUGCCCAGGAUUUGGGGGUGCCCUGUAUUUGGUAGAAAUGGUCCUAAGGAUGCCCCUGUCUUGCUUCUCACUGGUUGUAUGCAGCUCUGGGACCUGUGUCGCCCCAGGGAAGGGAGCUCUCUGCAGCUGGAGGCUUCAUGCAGGCCACACCUGCAUGACUGAAUGGAAAGUUCCUUCCUGAAGGGCAACUAGAGGACAGUUCCCUGUCUGCCACACAUGGUGCCCUCUAGUUUAUUUAGGCUUUCCUUCAUUCCCUUCCAGAAUGGUUAGUUUUGUACAGAAUUCUGGUAUAUGUUUCAACUCAUAUAUUCUUCUGUAGCCAAUAUUUUGCCACUGUUGUAGGCUCUGUUUUUGUGUGAUCACCUUUAAAUUAAAAAAACUGAACUAUAGAUUUACAAUGAUCGUUUUAGGUAUACAGCAAAGUGAUGCAUGCAUGUGUGUGUACACACNNNACACACACACACACACACUUUUUCAGACUCUUUUCCCCUCCAGGUUAUUACAAGAUAUUAAACACAGUUCCCUGCACAGCAAAUGCCUGUCUAUCUGUUUCACAUAUAGAGGUGUGUGUCUAUUAAUCCCAUGCCCCUAAUUUAUACCUCUCCACUUUCCGCUUUGGUAACAGCGAGUUUGUUUUCUAUGACUGUGAGUCUAUUUCUGUUUUGUAAAUAAGUUCACUUGUGUUAUUUUAGACUCCACAUGUAAGCUGCAUCAUACACUGAUUUUCUUUAUCUGACUUACCUCACAUAGCAUGAUCACCUCUNCAUGUUGCUGCAAAUGGCAACACUCCAUUGUUUUUAAUGGCUGAGUAACCCCAUACCUUGGCUACUGCUGCUACAAACAUUGCUGCACGUGUACAGGAUUUCUUUUUAAACUUUUUAUAUUCUACCUGAUUAUUGCUUUAUAUAGGAUAUACUAGUACGCAGAAAUACAUUUUAAUAUUAACAACCUUGCUAACCUCACUUGUUAAUUCUCAUUGUGCCUUUGUGGAUUUUUAAACACAUGUAUCAGGUUAUCCUGUAAACAGCAUUUCUUCCAUUUCAGACCUACACCUUCCAGUUGUUUUUUUUGGGUUAUUUAUUGCACAGGCUUGGUGCUCCAUUGUGAUAGUGAAUGGAAGUGGUCAGGGUAGGCAUCCUUGCUAUGAAGCCAAAGGGACAGCGUUGAGCAUUUCACUACUUGGUAAGAUACGUAUGUCUGUACACUACUUAGUGUGUUUGUUGAAGAGUGUGUGCGCCAUUUAUCAAGUUCAGAAAAUUCCUCUUUAUUCCUACUUUGCUAGUACUUACAUCAAAAAAAAUCAUAAGUAGUGCUGAACUUUAUUCAACAUCUUUUACUGAUUUUUGAAUGUCAAACCAAACUAACAUUCAUUGAAAAUUCCACCUUGGUUGUGAUGUACAUCAGCUUUACACAUUGCUGGAUUCAUUCUGCUGAUCAUUUGUUUAAAGUUUAUGAGUGAGAUUAGCUUGUUAUAUUUUGGUAAUGUCUUUGCUAGGUUUUAGUAUCAAGGCAGUGUGGCCGUCAUAGAAUGGUUAGGGAUUAUUUCCUUUUUCUAGUCUUUGAAAAUAAGAUUGGUGCUAUAUUUUCUUUAAACAUAACUCACUGAACUCACUGAUGAAGCUGUCUGGGCCUGGAGUUCUCUUAGUAGGAAGAGUUAAAAUUAUAGACUUAAUUUAAAAUAGAGGAUUUAAGACCAGUCAGAUGUAGGACUGAUUGUGCCAGUUUGGAAAAACUGUAUUUUCAAGAAACUUGUUUAUUUCAAUCAAAUUUUCGUACUUAUUGUCAUAAAGCUGUUCAUAAUAUUCUCAUUAUCUUUUGAAAAAUUUGUAGAAAUGUUUUGUUUUGGCUAUUUGUGCUUUACUCCCCCAUGAGGGGUUUAUUCAUUUUACCACUUUUCAAUUAACUUUUGACUAUUUCCAUUUAUUUGCACGUUCUUUGUGCUUAAUUGUUUUAGGUAUACAGCAAAGUGAUGCAUGCAUAUAUAUAUACACACACACACACACACACACACUUUGUCAGACUCUUUUAAAAUACUUUAUUUGUAUUUCAAGCUUAUUUUUUAAUAUAUGCUUUAAAAAACUUUCCAAGUUAGCAUGGCCCUAAGGAACUAAAAAGUCUCUCGAUGAA